AGGAUGAACGCUGGCGGCGUGCCUAACACAUGCAAGUCGAACGUCCUGUCUCGCAAGAGGCAGGGAGUGGCGGACGGGUGAGUACCACGUGGGUUAUCUACCGUGAGGUGAGGAAUACCGGCGAGAAAUCGCCGACAAAACCGCAUAGGCUCGAUGCAAGUCGAGCAAAGCUUUCUCGCAAGAGGGAGCGCCACACGAGGAGCCUGCGCCCGAUUAGCUGGCUGGUGGAGUAACGGUUCACCAGGGCGACGAUCGGUAGCUGGUCUGAGAGGACGAUCAGCCACACUGGGAUUGAGAACGGCCCAGACUCCUACGGGGGGCAGCAGUGAGGAAUUUCGUCAAUGGGGGCAACCCUGAACGAGCAACGCCGCGUGCAGGAAGAAGGUUUUCGGAUCGUAAACUGCUUUUCUCGGGGAAGAGAACGGACGGUACCCGAGGAAGAAGCCCCGGCUAACUACGUGCCAGCAGCCGCGGUAA
rnacentral:rRNA from 1 species